rnacentral:rRNA from 1 species
GAUGAACGCUGGCGGCGUGCCUAAUACAUGCAAGUAGAACGCUGAAGGAAGGAGCUUGCUCUUUCCGGAUGAGUUGCGAACGGGUGAGUAACGCGUAGGUAACCUGCCUGGUAGCGGGGGAUAACUAUUGGAAACGAUAGCUAAUACCGCAUAACAGUAGAUGUUGCAUGAUAUCUACUUAAAAGGUGCAAUUGCACCACUACCAGAUGGACCUGCGUUGUAUUAGGUAGUUGGUGAGGUAACGGCUCACCAAGGCGACGAUACAUAGCCGACCUGGGAGGGUGGUCGGCCACACCGGGAAUGAGACACGGCCCAGACUCCUACGGGAGGCAGCAGUAGGGAAUCUUCGGCAAUGGACGGAAGUCUGACCGAGCAACGCCGCGUGAGUGAAGAAGGUUUUCGGAUCGUAAAGCUCUGUUGUAAGGGAAGAACGAGUGUGAGAGUGGAAAGUUCACACUGUGACGGUAUCUUACCAGAAAGGGACGGCUAACUACGUG